rnacentral:ncRNA from 1 species
UUUAUAGCGAUGAAGAGGAAAGUAGUUUUUGCUAUAUUCGAUAGCGAGCCGGGGACGGUGGAAGCCUGGCGAUGAAGCAUGAAUGAAGAACACCUUUGAGUUCUAACCGAAAGGGAUAUCUUAAGUAGGCUUAGACGUUACCAGCACGUUAUCUGACUGGGGUAAGCAAUAUUAGCUUUAAAGUUGGUCAAAUGACAAUUUGGGUGGUACCGCGGAAGUCAGCCUUUCGUCCCUUUU